rnacentral:rRNA from 1 species
UACAGAGGGUGCAAGCGUUGUUCGGAAUUAUUGGGCGUAAAGCGCGUGUAGGCGGGAUGGCAAGUCGGGUGUGAAAGCCCUCAGCUCAACUGAGGAAGUGCGCCCCGAAACUACCGUUCUUGAGUGUCGGAGAGGGUGGCGGAAUUCCCGGUGUAGAGGUGAAAUUCGUAGAUAUCGGGAGGAACACCAGUGGCGAAGGCGGCCACCUGGACGAACACUGACGCUGAGACGCGAAAGCGUGGGGAGCAAACAGG